CCCUCGGUGGCUCAGAUGGAUAGAGCGUCUGCCAUGUAAGCAGGAGAUCCUGGGUUCGAGUCCCGGUCGGGGCA
rnacentral:tRNA from 1 species